CUUUUUGCCAAGAAGAAUGGGCAGCUGUACUAUCAGAGUAAAUAAGGAGCCUCAUCCAUAACUACCACAAAAGACUCCAAGCUGUCAUUGAUGUUAAAGGGGGCAAUACACAGUAUUAAGGACUGGGAAAUGUGAACUUUAAAUCAG